AACUGCUUCCUUUUUAUUUUUGCAACCUAUCAUUGCCUUUCGCUCGCGCUCUCUUAGUCUCUCACACAACUCUCUCUCACACACUACAAGAGCCACAAAUCUAGCCAAAGAAGUUAUAGAUCUGGCAUCCAAAGUUGUAGUUUCGUCGUUUGCGACCCUCCCACCUCCUCCAUCGUGGGAUUUGUGAGUACCGCCGCCACGGUCAUCGUCACUGUAGUCCAGUGCUAGCUUUUGGAACACCACGCUAGAGUAUGCCACCGCCGCAUUACCCUCAUAUUCUUUAGCGGACAUGGGCAAUGCAGGAGCAUGUUCAUCCAAACGCAACCCACGCCAAAUCCCUCGUCUCUCAUGUUUUAUCCCGGAAAGCCUGUCAUGGAAAUUGGAAGUUCCGCCGUCAAUUCUUCCCUUGCUAAAUCGCUCUUCGCAGUCAACAGUCUCUUUCUUUUCUUCUCUUUUCAUCUUGUGUUUAUGGAUUCCUCUAUGCUUAUUGUCAUUGUGCAAGCAUUACUCGCAUUUUCUUUGGAUCCAAUUUCAUUACUAUUACCAAAUCCGAAGAGGCUGAGUGGGAAUUCCUCAAGCCAAAAAUAUUUGUCGCCAUUAUGGAUUUCUACUCCUCCAGUCAAGCUCUCUUUUUAGAUUCACCAAGAUGAUUCUGAAAGAGUUGCAAUGAUCAAGGAAUUGUUAGAGACAUGCAUUUGACCGGCAGUGCAGGAAAAUGGUGGGGACAUUGAAUAUAGAGAUUUUGGACCGAGGUUGCCUACCCUAUCUAAGUAGGAUAACAUCUGCCAUGGCAGCUACAUAUCCAAACUAUGCGUGGAGCAUGUUGAAAACAUAGGGAUUCAUUAUUACCAUACACUCAGAGGUUGGAGAAAAACCUUCUUGGAAAGGUAAAGGUAUAUUACUUAUACACAAGGCACAUCAAUGGUUUUGCUGCAACUUUGGAUGAAGAAGUAGUUGAUGAUAUAUAAGCACCCCCAAAGUAUUGUUAGUGUUUGAGAAUAGAGGGAGAAAGCAACACACCACUCGAUCAUGGGAUUUCAUGGGCUAAAGCAUAAUGGGGUGAUCCUGAUUUGGUGAGGGAGUCAUCAUUGGAAACCUAGAUACAUGUAAGUUUUCUUGAUUUAUGUAUUUUAAAACUCUUGUUAUUCUUUUCAAAGUGGUUGACUGCACCUUGGAAUUAAUGGGGUGCAGUUAUUAUAUUAUGAUGGUUUAAUCUAGAUCAUUGACUUAUACACACAUGUGGAACAUACACAAAGUUAUCUCA